rnacentral:rRNA from 1 species
GACGAACCGUGCAAACGUUAUUCGGAAUCACUGGGCUUAAAGGGCGCGUAGGCGGGUCGGAUAGUCUGCGGUGAAAUACUCCAGCUUAACUGGAGAACUGCCGUGGAUACUGCCAAUCUCGAGGAGGGUAGGGGCAUCUGGAACAGCCGGUGGAGCGGUGAAAUGCGUUGAUAUCGGCUGGAACUCCGGUGGCGAAGGCGAGAUGCUGGACCCUUUCUGACGCUGAGGCGCGAAAGCCAGGGGAGCGAACGGG